rnacentral:misc_RNA from 1 species
CACACACACACACACACACACUUGCACGGAAAACACAUUACAUCACAUGCAUAGUUGCUAACCAAAUAUAUAUUUUCAGCGAUGGUGACAUGCUAGUAUUUGGAAAUUUUCUGAUGGAUUUGCUUGAUAUUUCUAAUCAGCUUGGUGCAUCAUAUUUACUUGUACUUUUUCUCUCUUUAGCUUGAUACGCUAUACUUUGUGAAGAUUGUGCAUUUUAGUCCGUGGAGUUUUCUAAUUUGUUGCCCAUGUUGAGAAUCUAAUUUUCUCAAAAAUCACAGUUAUGACACCAAAAAAAGAGGUGCAUUUUGUGGAAAACAUGUAAAGAAGUGCUUUUAAGUAUGGUGAUCACAUCUCUUAAAAAAAAAGGUAUGGUGAUCACAUUUUGAUAGCAUUAGAAUAUCACUUGUGUGAACAAGUCCAACAUCAAUGGUGUACAAAAAUUAAAGGGUGUAUAAAUGUUAGCAAACCAAACUAAAAAGGUUUAGGUCAUUUUGGUGAUGGGGAGUCUAGUUUCAAGCCGAGUUUACUGUGUAGUUUGCCAAUUUGAUAGUCACACUCUUGGGUCCAUAAUUCUUAACAUAAUUUUAAAGUAGGUUAGGGCCUCGUUUCAAUUUCAGUUCAAUUUCUUGGUGUUGCCGCCACAUUUCAAUUUUAGGUUCCAAGUAUCAAUCAAAUGUCCGAUUGCCACUUGGAGGGAGUGGUGGAAUAUUUCUUGGGGGAACAAGUCUCACAUUGCCAAUGCACAAGAAAACUAAAAUGCAUACGAGUGUCGGCAAACCAAACUAAAAUGGCUUGCAUCAUUUUGUUGGUGGGGAACCUAGUUUUAGGUCAAGUUCAGUUUAUAGUUUCCCAAUUUGAUAUUCAUACUCUUGGGUCCAUAAUUCUCAGCAGGGUGUAUAUACGAUUGCUUUCGUGCGCUUUUAGUGAAAUUAGAGGCUGGCUAUGACUACUCUUCCUGCAAGGCAACAAAGGGUUAGAGAGCCGAGGGUAUUCCCUCUUGGCAAUCCGAUGGUUAAGUUGGUACAAGGUAGAAAAGAAAAGAGACAGAAGACAGAGGAAUUUAGAGCAAAGGGUUUAAAGAAUUUUUUACCUGGGAUAGUAUAUAUAUAUAUAUAUAUAUGACAACAAAUCCAAUAAUAAAUUAACAUGUGGAGGUUAUGCCCCCGGUAUCACUAGUUAUCCCUCUUCUGCAGUAAUUUCUAUUGAAAAUAUCUAAUUUAGUGAGUAUUAUUUGCUUAUUAAGUUAUUUUACUAUCUUAUUUUCUAUAGAGAUUAUUGAAAAUGGUUAACCCUUGAAUAAUGGUUAAUUGAACCGUUGAAACUGGUUAACUAGUUAGCCGGUUAACCAGUUAACCGGUUAUCCAAUAUAAAUGGCUGGUUAAGGUUCAAAGAAUUGAAAAACUGAUUGUUACAGUUCUGUUUUAAAAUUAUGCUCAUGGUUUGGCAGUUGGCACCCCUAGCAUUUAUGAAGACUCGUGACUUAUAGCGGCCUGUGAUCAAUGCCGCUAAAACUCAAAAUGCAUGCCAAUCUUGAAUUUCCGUGUUAAUAUCUUUUCUUAUUUAAUGAUUCCUCAUGCCAAGUUGUAGAUCUCCGAUUUUUGGGGAAAGAAAGGCCAACUAUAGUGCAAUAUUUAGGGGAAAGAAGUGCUUUGAACCGUUUUAGUAGAAGCAGACAUAUUUCUAGCGACCCUUGAACAAUCGAUUUGCUUUAAUAUAUUCAAUUACUGGUGAUGGUGUAUUCCUUGGUCAUGUUGGAUUGUACAGUCUGUUUCUUGGAAGUAAUGAGAUGAUCCUUGCAAUUGAUGAUUUGUUCUGGUUUUCACUGCGCUAAUCAUGUCCUCCCAAUGUUGUGGUCUAGUACGCUUAUCAAGUUACGACUUUAUGUGAAAUAUUUAUUGCUUGAAGUGGCUUGUUAAAUCUGAUUGCUGAUGUUGGAAACAUGCAGUCAAUAUUGGGCAAAUGAGGCUAUCAGGGUUGGACUUCGAAGCGGACGACAAGCCAUGAAACAGAUGACGUGAGCUGAUGCAUGGCAU